rnacentral:rRNA from 1 species
CUUUUAACAACGGAUCUCUUGGUUCUCGCAUCGAUGAAGAACGUAGCAAAGUGCGAUAACUAGUGUGAAUUGCAUAUUCAGUGAAUCAUCGAGUCUUUGAACGCAACUUGCGCUCAUUGGUAUUCCAAUGAGCACGCCUGUUUCAGUAUCAAAACAAACCCUCUAUCCAACAUUUUUGUUGAAUAGGAAUACUGAGAGUCUCUUGAUCUUUUCUGAUCUCGAACCUCUUGAAAUGUACAAAGGCCUGAUCUUGUUUGA